rnacentral:rRNA from 1 species
AUUGAACGCUGGCGGCAGGCCUAACACAUGCAAGUCGAACGAGUGGCGGACGGGGGAGUAAUGUCUGGGAAACUGCCCGAUGGAGGGGGAUAACUACUGGAAACGGUAGCUAAUACCGCAUACCAUCGGAUGUGCCCAGAUGGGAUUAGCUAGUAGGUGGGGUAACGGCUCACCUAGGCGACGAUCCCUAGCUGGUCUGAGAGGAUGACCGGCCACACUGGAACUGAGACACGGCCCAAACUCCUACGGGAGGCAGCAGUGGGGAAUAUUCCACAAUGGGCGCAAGCCUGAUGCAGCCAUCCCGCGUGUGUGAUGAAGGCCUUCGGGUUGUAAAGCACUUUUGGCAGGGAAGCGGUACCUGCACAAUAAGCACCGGCUAACUACGUGCCAGCAGCCGCGGUAAUUC